CCAACCUUUCUGGGUAACUAGACUCUCUAUCUCCACAAAACAGAUGAAGUGGGUUAGUGGCAGUAGUAGCGUCCUCACCUUCCCCAAGCAAUGUACCUCAACCUUGCUAUUUAGUGAUCUACCGCUAAAUGAGAAGAUAAUUCAUUCCCCAUGUUCAUUCAAUCUCCUGAGACU
rnacentral:sRNA from 1 species